AAUCCAUGGUGAGGGCAGUCACGUUUAUACUCUUUAAAAUGCUCACAGGCUUCAUAGAAAGGUUCAUCCGGUCCUUGCUGAAAACUUGAGAUCUUGGUUCUCAACAGU
rnacentral:snoRNA from 1 species